ACCUUCACCCGAAAAGCCUAUUCUCUCUCAGCCCACUGUCUUCCUCUCGUCUGUCAGUCGCCCUUCCCUCGUGUUCAUCUUCUCUCUCAACUAGUCGUCCUUCCUCCGUCUUCAUCUCCUCUCUCAGCUGGUCGUCUUCCUCUCUCUCAACCGUGGGCUUUCCCCUCGCUCUCACCCAUGGGACUGCCCCUUUCUCUUAGUCGCUCUCACCCGUCUUCCCCUCUCUCUCUGCAGUCCAUAGUGGAGUCAAAUUGUCGCUAGGGAGAAGAAAGGCAAGCAUUGGGUGAUGCAUGAACAAAAGUAAUAAUCUUCCUCUGCUGGUAGAGAUUUUAAGUAAUCUGGGUUCAUUGUAAUCUUUACUUAUGGUUUUAAACUAUUCUGCUAUUAUAUGGUUUAAAGUAGUUCUUUAAACCCACAAAUUCAGUAUGUGAGGCAAUGUUUUGUGCUCGGUGGUUGUAAAAGUCAAGGUGUGGUGUGGAUAAGAUUGUGGUUUCACUGUGGUUCUUCUUCAUUUUGUUUUGUGGUGUGAAAUUUUAUGUUGAGGACUUUUCUGUUUUUUCUUAAUGUUUGGAAAUGAUGCACGUAUUGUCAAUACAGUAAGAUGUCAAAGUUUGGUGUUCUGUUU